GGGAGAUUCCACUCUUGAUUCAAUGGAACUAAAAACUACUCCAAAACUAGAGGAAGCAAUGAGCGUUCGAGUGAAUUACAUUAACAACUUUUAGAAAACCUUAAAUUUUGCAAAAAAUUAACUUAUCCAGAUGAGAAGAUGAUUCAACUUGAAUCACACUAGAUGUGAAUCAGACUCUCAGACUGGUAGACGCACUACAUAAAACUGAAUCAUAUACUAAUACUUACAACAUAGCCAUCUGGAG
rnacentral:misc_RNA from 1 species